ensembl:lncRNA
AUGGGCCACCAACGAUGUCACCUGCAGUGCACUUCUGGAUUCCGGGGCCGAGGGCAAUUUCAUGGAUUACACCUUCGCUCAGCAACAUGGCAUCUCCACUUCCUCCCUCGAGCACCCCAUCUCCGUCAGCGCACUCAAUGGACAGUCACUACCUACUCUCUCACACAUCACGGAUUUCAUCACUCACCACGGACACCAUCGCCCAUCAAAGUCCCUGUGUUACCAUCUCUCCUGCUGCUUAUUUGUCUUGUCAUUUCAUGUACAUCUGACUUUAUCUGGCGUGAAGCUCUAUUAAAAGAGAUAAUUAACUUGCAAUUGCAUCCAGUCUUCUUUUCCGUGACAUCAAUAUUACUUCCUGCUAACUCCAUUUCCUCUGUUCAUGUUCCCAUAACCCCAAUUCCGACCCCUAGAGUUAAAGUACCACUACCAAGAUCUGCCAAUGCAACAUAUAAAGUAUACCCUGUAUCUACUUCUAUAACCAGUGCACUUAAUCCUCCAGUUAUUCCCAGUACAUUGUCUUUCUGCACACAGCCCCCCAUACGCCUGGAGUUCCCCACCUUUGGUGCCUCUUAUGAGACUUUGGAUGUGCUCAACUUCAUUGAACAGUGUGAAAACUACUUGGAUAUCAGGCCCUUUCCUAGUGGGGAGCUCAUCGGAACCUUGAGCAUGGUCCUGAGAGGACCUGCUCUCAGCUGGUGGAAGGCAGAAAAGGGUAAAGUAAUGGAUUGGAAAUCUUUCAAAAAGGCAUUCAUGGCUGCAUUUCUCCCAGAUAACUACCUAACUGAGGUGGAAGAUAAGCUGAGGUCUCUGGUCCAACAGCCAGGUCAACACCUGAGAGAUUUUGCAUAUGAUUACCGGUCCCUCUGCCUUAAGUGGAAACCUGCCAUGUUGGAGGACGAGAUGGUGAGCCGCAUUCUCAACAACAUUAACCCCAGGGUGGCAGGCUGUUUGAGGGGAACUGUAAAGAUGGUGGAACAACUGGUGAAAGUGGGCUCCAUGGUUGAGAAGGACUGCAUGGAAGCAAAAGAUUACUGGCAGAAGGUAGGUGGUCAAAACAACGAAGAGAAAGCUAAUAGGAAAUCAACUGAACGCAUUACCUCCAGAGACAUGGCUGGGUUAUCGAUUGCGCAACCUCACUUACUGACAUCUCUUCUCUUGGUGCCUGUAAUGAUAAAAGGUAAGGAGGUGAAGGCAUUAGUGGACACCGGUACCACUUACACCUUAAUGCAGGAAAGCCUCUGGUGA